rnacentral:rRNA from 1 species
UACGUAGGGUGCGAGCGUUGUCCGGAAUUACUGGGCGUAAAGAGCUCGUAGGUGGUUUGUCGCGUUGUCCGUGAAAACUCACAACUCAAUUGUGGGCGUGCGGGCGAUACGGGCAGACUGGAGUACUGCAGGGGAGACUGGAAUUCCUGGUGUAGCGGUGAAAUGCGCAGAUAUCAGGAGGAACACCGGUGGCGAAGGCGGGUCUCUGGGCAAUAACUGACGCUGAGGAGCGAAAGCGUGGGGAGCGAACAGG